UAAAAAGGAUAUUCCACCUUGGCCAACGUUUUAAAAGUAAUAAUAAUUGAGGGAAUAUCUGUUGUUGUUGUUUUAGCAGCGAAAUGCAUUGUGUGUGUGUGUGUUCUCACAGAUGUGGGUUUGUGGGGCCCAGUCACCGGUAGCACACCAACGUUAUGGGGCCCUCAAAACCCUGGGCCCCACACCGUUUUUCAUUUGUAAUGGGCUCAGGAGGCUGCCCUGACAUGCCCCCCACUCUUCUUUUACUUGGCCCACAAGGUAGCAAAGUUGAGUUCUGUGUGUAUAAUUUUUAGGCUCGUGAUCGCCCCCUAGGUGGUACUGCACCCUUAAGCACACUUCCUGAAGUGUGUAACGUUCAGCCAAUCACAUGUGGCCAAUUGAUCAGCUGCUUGACGCAUGCUACUCAUGCACAAGGGCCACAUAUUGUGUGAAGGCAAGAUUUUCACUUGGAGAAUGUCAGAAGAGCCAUAAUGCAAAGAAGGAAGCCAAGAAUCCGGCCUGUUGAUGAUGCAACAUCACACAUUCUUUCUUCGGGAGAUAAGCAGGGGCUUACUCAAAACGUCAUUGAUGAUUACAAAGGACCGGGAGUGUUUGCUACCAAGAGAUUUGAAAAAGGGGAUUUUGUCGUGGAGUACAGGGGUGAAAUCAUCUCUUUCGAAGAAUGUCAGUCAAAAAAGUACUCCACUACAGAGAGUACAUAUCUUUAUGAAUUUGAAUGGAAGAAUCAUAGAUGGUGGUAAGCAGCAGAUUUAUUUUUGAAGAUUUCAAAUAACUUAUUAAAAGAGUAAAAAAGGAAUGGAGUAAUUAAAGUACAAGUUUAAUGUGUUGUAUUCCCUCCUUUUAGCAUUGAUGCAUCCAGAGAAGAUGGGUCACUUGGACGAUUGGCGAAUGACGACCACAAAGUUUGCUCUGAGAAACAUAGAACCAGGAACUGAAAUUGUCUACAACUAUGGGGACUCAAAAUGGCCCUGGCGUAAAAAGGAGAACCUUGAGAAUGCCAACGUUGGGUCAGAUGAACCCAAGCUGUUCCCUGAUCAUGUUACUACUCAGGAGAACCUUGAGAAUGCCAACGUUGGGUCAGAUGAACCCAAGCUGUUCCCUGAUCAUGUUACUACUCAGGUGUUUUCUGUCGGCGGAAUUUCACUUGUGGAUUAUUCUGACUGAUGAAACCAUGGACGCCAGAGGAGGGUGUAGCAAUUAAGAGGCAAUUGAGAAGGUUUUAAUAAUGAAUAUGACACCGGGUAAGGCAGAUUGUGAAAAAUGCCUUUCCGAAGAACCUGAGGCACUCAAAAACCGAGACUGGAAGGCUGUAAAAUACUUAGUGAAAAACAGAAGUUAUGAACAGAGAAAGAAAUCGAUGUAAGAAAAAAUAGGAAAGGUUUUUUCUCAUCUCUUGGAUUGUUGGAUUGAUGCAAAAGUCAGGUUUUAUUACCAUGCAAAAUGGUAGAAAUGUUCACAAUACAGUUCACAAAGGUUCAACCUAUGCCUGCCUUCGGCAUUCAAGCUAUUGUUAAAAAAAAAAGUAAGUUGUUGCUGUUUCGAUUUUCAUAUUCACGUCAUAAGAACUGAAACUACCGAUGGCAUUAUGGUCUUUUUUUGUCACUUUACCAUACCAAGU
rnacentral:lncRNA from 1 species